rnacentral:lncRNA from 1 species
GGGAGAGAGAGAGAGAGAGAGAGAGAGAGAGAGAGAGAGAGAGAGAGAGUGAGUGAGUGAGUUAGUUCAGGUUGGGACCCCCAGUCCAGGGGUUGGUGCUGCCCAUAUUCAGGGCAAGCCUUGACUCCUUCUGGAAAGACUCUCAGAGUCACUCCCAGAGGCGUUUCUAUGGAUACCAAAUGUAGUCAAAUUGACCAUGGAGAGGAGCAUCACAUCCUGUGUUUGACAAUGGGCACUGUUUCUUAGUCCAGGAGUCAUUCUCCUUAAUCGAGCCAAGGACUCACUAGUUUUCAAACACAACUCAGACAAUUUACAUAGCACACUGAGUCGUGACAGUCAAAAUCCUGGCUUCUCAACCAUUUUGAUUGGUGUCUGACUCCCCCUCCCCAAAAAGAAUCGAGGCUUUCUAAAGAGAGAGCGGUUGGAAGCUUGGAACAGUUCCAGGUUGAAGGCCCGAAGCUCCAAAGUGAACGAACGACUUAAUGGGCUCCCUGGUCUCAUUGGAAGUUCAAAAGUACAGAUGAUAAAGGUUUUAUGUGUGAUGUUUUAUGACCUUGCACUCGGCACAGUCCUUGCCCAGAUGAGGUACCAAAGAGGAGGUGACCCAGAUGUGAAUCGUUUAUUUUAUGGGUCUAGACCCUGGUCCGAAGUCUGCGUAUGCUGCUUCUCUCACCUCCUACAGCUUAGAACAGCCUUUAAAACUAAUGUAGGCAAGAUGCCCAAGAACCAUUCAGUUCAAGCUGGCAGGAAGUUAGCUAGUUUAAAGGGAAAAAUAAUCUCACUUGAGUGUAAGGAUACAUAGGAGAGACCCGUAUGAAAGCCGCUAGGCAAGCUGUCGGUCACUUGACAUCUUUAAAAAAUUAAUUUUUAAAGUGUGUGUGUGUGCUCAUGUGCAUGCAUGUGUGUGUGCUGUAUGUGUAUGUGUGUAUGUGUGUGUGCUGUAUGUGAAUGUGUGUAUGUGUGUGUGCCUGUGUGCGCGCAUGUGUGCAUGUGUGAAUGUGUGUGUGUGUGUUUUAUUUUUUAUUUUUUGCUAAUACCUCAGAUGGGAGUUCCUCUUCCACAAGUACCAUACAGGGUUUGUACUUAGAUCACGUGACCAAUGCAUCGCUCCUUAGCAUGUGGAGACCGUACUUCUGAGCUAAGAAGCAGCUGUGGUCAGGCAUUUCUGCCUGUCAGUAUCUCCUCCCCUCCUUUCUUCCUCUUCCUUCUGUGUCCCCUCCGUUCCCCUUCUGUCCAUGCUUCACUAACUUCUCGAGAAAUGGAACCUGAGGAAUAGAUGCAAAUACCUUAGUUUUUUUUUUCUCCUGACUUAAAACGUCUGUCUCCUGUCCUUCCUCUGUGGCGGGUCCUAGAGCUACCAGUGGAAAUGGGGUUCUUGCUGCUGCUUUCCAAUGACACACUUAAGAUACUGAUGCCAUUCCUGCCCCCAAGCCUUCAUGCGAGACAAGGACUCUCCCCAUCCCUGGUGACAUCCCCACUCUCCUCUCUUUGGCUGAGGGUGUUCUGUCCUUGCUGUGGCAUCUGUGCUGAGUCCUCACAGGAAAUUCCUUAAAUUCUCUUGCAAUUUCUUUCUCUUUCUGAGCCCCUGGCUGCCCCAGUGUGGGGCCUCCCUGACUUAGUCUUCUAAUAUUUUUGUCUCUUAAACCCCUCACCUCUGUCUUUAUCUGCUUCCGAGGGGAUUUAUCCCAUCUUCUCUUUCCAACAUGAACACUUUAUCUUUAGCUUCUAAAGCUUCCUCCCUGUUCUCUGAGUUUCGUUGUGUAGCCUCCUGCCCUUGCUUCAGGAGUCUUCUUUGUGUCUGAUGCAGGUGUUGGGGGGUGAGGGGCGUCGUCUGCCCCCAGAGGUGCCUUUGGGUCCUCUAGGUUCCCUUUUCUCGGUUGGGCUGGGUGUCCGUCUCUCACAUUGUGCAUAGAUACCUGCAUCUACUCAUGUUUCAGAGUGAUGCACCCAGAAACCGGCAGGAUGUUCUGACAACCAUCUGGUAAGGUUCUGUCCAGUGUCGCCCAGCGGGCUGGCUUAGCUCUGAGAGACUGCCAUGUCAGUAGUAAAAUGUUUCUUCUGGGAUUUACUCCAUUUCCUUACAGAGCUUCCCGCCACUCCUCUGCCUGGAAAAGAGGGACACACAGGGCUGCUGUUAGCCCAUGCAGUAGACUUGUGCAGUACCAGUAAUGGUACCCGCUCUGAGCAGAAGCCACCGCACCAUCCAUAUUGGGUUUAGUUGGUGAAGGACAGCUGUUUUCUCUCUCUCUCUCUGAGCAGACACAGUCCACAGAUAAGACAGAGCUUGGGUUUUAACCCCAUGUGCUCCCUUGGCUAGGCGCCUUAGCGUCGAGCACAAGCCAUAGGAUGGGACCCAGUACUGUUUUCUAGCCUUAAAGCUGGCAGUCUCGGGAAUCACCGUGUAACCACCUGAAGCUGCUCCUGCCUUGCUUGGUCUUCUGUCUCCGGACUGCUAGUUCUCUAUGAAUAGGAGGCAAGACAGUCAUUCUGGCUGCAUGGGAGGGCAGGAGACCCAGGAAUCAGCCCUGUAUCUCACCUUACAGUCACCAUCCCAACCCACAAGCUCUUCUUGGGUGCCAAAGUGGGAGGCUCCUCAGUGCUGCCCUCUGCAGGCACAUGGUGGGAGGACCCUUCCCCGCUUCUUUCUCAGUGGCAUCCUUCGGUUUUGAACGGGUGGUGCCCGUGACCUUUGGCCUAUCUUUUCCUAACUUUGGAACUUUCUCUUCCUUUGCACUUCUUCUGACAGGCGAAAUGACUAAGCACAGAUGUUCUGUUCCCCAUCUUUUGUUUGGCUCCGUUGAUUUUCAGUUUUGUUUUUUUGUGUCCAGGCUGGCCUCGAACUCUUGAUCCUCCUUCCCCAUUCUCCCAAGUGCUAGGUUACAGGCAUGCACCGCCAUGCUCUGCUCCUGUGUGCCAUCUUGAUCCGUAAAUGCCUUUGGGUUCUUUGGUUGGUGGGUUAGGUGGCUUGUUACCCUGCUAACCUCAUGCGAACUUGUCUUGAGGGAAUCCGCUGGAGCACAAGGAUGCUGCGUUUUGCAAGUCAUGCCUCAGGGCAUUCCACUUUCUCCUUCCUUUAAAGUUUUGCCAGCUGCUCCCAUGGAACACUUGGAGCUCCAAAAUCCUCCCAAGAUGCAGUCUCUGUGGUCACAUGGUUUCAGCCAUCAUGCCGUACUGUCCACCCCAGCUGAGACUCUCAUGUAAGGAACAGCUCGUCCACACUAGCACUUGCCAGACAGCAGAUAAGGUUCUCUAUCAGUCGAUGUCUGGAGUUUGGGCAGAAUUUCCCCCUAAAGGCUUUUGACUUUCCCUAGCUGUUGAUGACAGCCCCUAGGGCUACUGGUAAGGUGUAACUUUGGAGGAGAAAGGCGCUCCAACACACUCUCAGAAUCCAGACCAUGUUUUUCCACUGCUGGGCGCAGCCCAGAUCCAGGAGAACUCGCCUGCACUGUAAGCACUGAGAAGGCAAGAAUCCUCUAAGUCACAGUCUGUCUGUUGGCACUGGGGGCCAUGUGGAGGUCCAGCACCGUCUUUAGAAAGAUGAAAGUGUGGAGGAGCGAGUGAGUCUUCAGCUGCAGUGCCAGUCCAGGCAAUUCAGGGAGUAUGAAACUCCAGCCACCCUCAGUCAGGCCUCUGAACACCACUGGAGCACAUUUCCCCAGGAGUCAGCCGGUGAGUGGGAGGGAUCCCUGGAAGAACGUAAUGAACCUGGCUUCCAUGGUGAGAACUGUUGCCUUCUGUGGAUGUCAUUGGCUUGCUGGUGUCAACCCCUUUCAGUGAGUUCAUCUUUUUUCUCAGACUCCAGAGGGCUAAGAGUCGUCUGAGGCCGAGCCUCCCUCUCCGUCUUCUUGCAUAGAGACACUGCCCCUGGGGAUCGCCACUGGCUUUCCUGUCUAGACUCACAGUGAAACAGAUGCAGCAUCCAGGGUCUGCAGCUCAGAAGCAGCCAAGUCUUCUAGCCUUUCCCCACAGUGAGGCAGCUGUUCCCAUGAGCACAUCUGGGAUCUAGGUCAAGUAGCUGGAGAGUUGCUGCUGGUGUCUUUUUCUCAUUGGCUGAAAAUUGCAGGGUUUCCCCUUACCCAUUAGCCCAGAUUGAGAAGGAACAGCCAUUCCCUGACACAUUCACUCGGCCAUGGCUUCUGCCAGCUUCUCUCUAGUCCCACACUCCCAGACUUAGAGUCAGCUGCCCUGUCUUCAAUCUGGCAACUUUUACAAGAGGAAGUGUUAAGCCAUUGUCUACUUGUAAACUCACUUGGCCCUGCCAACAGUCCAGGGAAGUGUUUCCUUCAGGAAGGAUUGAAAAAACUGGACAGAAAGAUAAGGGGGGUCAUGGCCCAGAGCCAACUAACUCUGACUUUCAUGACGGGCUUUACUGCCUAGAAAGACAAGGCAAUAUGGGGAGGAGACUCCGAUUCUGGGGUACCUGUCCAUUUGGGAAGUGUGGGUGGGAUUCUCUGAGCCAGCCCUUUCUUACCCUCCUACCCUGUCCCCACCCCUCUGUCUUCCCACCAAGUUUCUAUGUGCUUUCAUCCAACCUGUGUCAUAACCGCUUAAAUCCCUCAGGAGCACAUGGAGUCCAUGGUUUAACUUGCAAAUGUAAAUGCACAACAAACAACAACAAAAUCUUAGCCUCCAGCUUGUAGCAGAAAAAUCUGUAUCCAAAAUCGAACACAUGCCCCCUUGGUAGCUUUAGUCAAUACAGGGGUCCUGUCCCCAGCUGCUCCCCCCCCCUCCACCUCCAUCAGAGAAAGAAUUCAGGCUCUCUCCUUUGAACACAAACCUAGAGAAAGCGUGGGUUUAAAAAAACACACAGGAAAAACAAGGUUUGAAAGCCAGCCACCGGUGAUGCACACCUAAAAUCCUUGCACUAAGGAGGCUGGGGCAGGAAGGUUGCCAGCCAGGAUUAAGAAGUGAAAUCCUGGGGGCUGGGGAUUUAGCUCAGUGGUAGAGCGAUUACCUAGGAAGCGCAAGGCCCUGGGUUCGGUCCCCAGCUCCAAAAAAAAAAAAGAACCAAAAAAAAAAAAAAAAAAAGAAGUGAAAUCCUGGGGUUGGGGAUUUAGCUCAGUGGUAGAGCGCUUGUCUAGCGAGCGCAAGGCCCUGGGUUUGGUCCCCAGCUCCAAAAAAAAAAGAGUGAAAUCCUAUUUCAAAACAAAACAAAAGCCAGAAACCAGAGAAAAAGAAAACAGAGAAAAAGAAAACCCACAAAAAUAAACCUUAAGAAAGGCUUUGUUUUUCAUGUGUGUGAGUACUUGGCCUGCGUGUGUAUGUAUAUUGUGUGUGUGGUGCCCUGGGAUUCUAGAAUAGGGUGUUGGAACCCCUGAGACUGGAGUUACAGGUGGUUUUGAGCCACCCUGCAGGUGCUGAGAGCCAAACCCAGGUUGUCUUCGAGAGAAGCCAGCGAAUGCUCUUAGUUACGGAGUCAUUUUCAAGCCCCGCAAAUAAACCUUCUAAAGCAUUAAGACGGGUAGAAGACCAUGAAUCCCUUGGAUGGAGUUAUAAUCAUGGGGAUCCAUUUUUUCUUUAAGUUUAAAAGUCAAGAAUUAUGCAUUAUCAUUUAAAGAGAAGGAAGGGAGGGAGGAAAGAAGGAAGGAAGGAAGGAAGGAAGGAAGGAAGGAAGGAAGGAAGGAAGGAAGGAAAAACCUCACUUGUUUCAGUGACCUCAAAAGUCAAUAGGAACUAAGACUGCAAGGCUGUGUGGGAAGGGUAGCCAUAAAAUGCCUGUGUUCUUAAGUGCCAUGUGGGGGUUGAGGUGUGUUUUAUUUAAAGGAAAUGUGGGGAGUUCCCAAGUUUAAGACAGUCUCUGACCUAGGAAUCGUACCCUGGUGCUGAGGCACCUGGAGAAUGCACUCAGCCCUCUGGCUGGAAGCUGAAGGGCCACAGACGAAAGUCCUCCAGGCUCAGCCAGGCAUCUGUCUUUUUACCUCAGUGAGUGUCUGCAUCACACAUGCACUUGUGUAAAUGAAUGGACUGCCAAAUUGCCAAACCUUUGUCUGGUUUGAUUUUGGGGAGGGGGGACUUGGGGAGAAGUUUAGUCAGCCCAGGGUAGCCUGAUUGUUACAGGGUUUGGAGUAGAACCUGGGGGCUCUACACCUGUACCCCAGACAGAUUCCCAGGUGAAGUUUUGUGGUUUUUGUUUUUUAAUUCAAGAAUUCAGCUAUAGGACUAGUUAGCCAUAGGCAAUGGCCUAUAUCUUUCCCUCCCUUCCAGACUUUUCCUCUUGCCCUUAGCAAAGAGAGCUGUAUUGAGCAUCCCUGGGGGAGGUGCAGUAGGAAGGUAGGGUCUGCAAUGAAGGGUGCACCUGCCUUCUGCCCUUGAAACUGGAUCCCAAGACCUACCUGUAUUAUUGACUUGUGCCGAUAACGUGAGCCAAAGAUAAACAGGAAAACGUUCCUCUCUCCCACGCCCUGUUGAGGCAGGUUGUUAGGCCUGGAUACAGGACGCUGUUCAGAGUACACCCCUGGAAGACUGACCGGUGUCUCAUUGUCUUUUGGCCUGGGAUAUAGUUGACAGACUUGAUGUUUUCUUAAUGGCACAGUGGGAGGACCUCGUGGCUUGUGCCUGAAAGUUGCAGAACGGUUGGAGACAAAAGCAAAAUGUUAUUUUGUGGUACAAGGCUUAUUUUGUCUAUUUAGCUGUGCAUAGUUAUAGCUUUAUAAAAAAAACAAAGGGAUCUUUGUAAAAAAAAUGUACGAAUGUGUGCUCUUAUUUAUUGAUUAUUGUAAAUGAAGAUAUAAAUGGAUAUUUGCAUAAUUUAUAUCUAUAGGAAACUCCCUGGAGCGUUUGUUACUUGACUGUUUUCUAUCAUGGAACAUUGGGCCUGGUGCUAUGAUGAAUGACCUUGUAAAAUCACGUGUAUUCUUAAGAAAAAAUUUCAAUAUAAAUUUCUUGAACUGGC